rnacentral:tRNA from 1 species
UCCCUGGUAGCUCAAUCAGUAAAGAAUCUGCCUACAGUGCAGGAGAUCUAGGUUCGAUCCCUGGAUCGGGAA